CCCAGACUCCUACGGGAGGCAGCAGUGAGGAAUAUUGGUCAAUGGCCGAGAGGCUGAACCAGCCAAGUAGCGUGCAGGAUGACGGCCCUCCGGGUUGUAAACUGCUUUUAGUUGGGAAUAAAAGGGGGCUCGUGAGCCCCGUAUUGUAUGUACCAUCAGAAAAAGGACCGGCUAAUUCCGUGCCAGCAGCCGCGGUAAUACGGAAGGUCCGGGCGUUAUCCGGAUUUAUUGGGUUUAAAGGGUGCGUAGGCGGAAUGCCAAGUCAGCGGUAAAAUCGCGGGGCUCAACCUCGCUCCGCCGUUGAAACUGGCGUUCUUGAGUGGGCGAGAAGUAUGCGGAAUGCGUGGUGUAGCGGUGAAAUGCUUAGAUAUCGCGCAGAACCCCGAUUGCGAAGGCAGCGUACCGGCUCCACACUGACGCUGAGGCACGAAAGCGUGGGUAUCGAACAGGAUUAGAUACCCUCGUA
rnacentral:rRNA from 1 species